rnacentral:misc_RNA from 1 species
AGGUUCACAUCACAACCUAUAAGUGCAGUAUAAAACAUAACCAUAGAAUAUUAGUACGAGAGAAAUAUGUGUUUGUAUUUUGUGUUCCUCGUCGCCAUUACUACCAUGACGUCGGCCUUACAGCUGCCACUGAUCGAGGUUUUCACUGUAGCCAACAAAGACUAUACUAUCAUUGACUUUAUAGACAAGAGCUACCAGCCUGUUUUAAUUCCCUGGUCCCUGAGGCGUCGUGAUGUGGCCGCCCUCAAACCUUGGACGUUCCCGGCUCUUAACACCAGCUUGGAGGCAACCACCACGUUCUGUGUUGCCUCUGAGGGAUCAAGAGCAGUGAAAGAUUGUAUAGGAAAAGGCGAGAGAGACGAAGAAGGUGAACGUGAAGAAGAUAGCAAGAGAUGUACAAGUGAGGAGGUGGAUGCACAAGUGUCGCUGAGGAGGUUCGGAAAGGAGGGUGAGGGACGGUGGGGUCACGCCUUCACCACCAUCACUAAAGACAUCGGGUCAGCGGUGGUGGUGCCAAGGUUCCUGAACGACGCUGACCUGACCUCUGUUGACCUUACGCAAACAGGCUUACACCACGUACGUCGGGGGUGGACGAGCCAGGUCUACGAGAAAGACACCACCACCAGCGCCUCCGUCAUGUGUGUGGUGGAGGGUCGCCUCUCACUCACCCUCACGCCCUUCACACUAGCCUGGGAUCAACUCAAGUGUGGCCCGGAGGUGUGUGAGCUGUCCGCCACGCCCACAGAGGAGGAGAAACUGAACUCGGAGAUCCACGCCUUCCUCACACACGCCUCCGUCUUACCCCGCGGCUGUCUCUACAUGCCCCCAGAAUGGCAGUGGUCCGCUGAAGCUCCUGUCGACACCACCUGCCUCUGGUUCACUUGGCAGGAUGAUCUUGUUAUUCGAGAGGACGUCCUCAAUCACCUCUUCUCUCCUGAUGAAGAUAGUGCCUCUACGGACGAUGAGGUGGAAAAACCCUCAGUAGACAAACCUGGAGAACAGAAGAAAAAGCAACGAGGAGCACCUGAGGGUCAGCCACGAAAGGCGUCCUCUACACUGUGGGAGGCACUGCCGAAGGGCCACAAGCGCCCCCUCCUGCUGUGGGGGGAAGAGAACCCCUUUUUUCACUUAAUCCGUCGCUACCUACUGUCUGACCGUCACCUCCUCCUCCACACCUUCCUCGACCAGUUUCCCAUUGACAGGAUCUUACUGCCUGAUCUAGUGGACUGCCCUAGGGAGUGCCUGACCACCGCCACCACCAUUUUCACUAUCCUGGACACGGAUGGUGAUGAAGUACUGACGGCAAGGGACGCCACCUAUCUGACGCAGGACACCUUCUCCUCCCUCACCCACCACCUGGAUGACCUGGUGGACGAGCUGAAGGACCUCGCCAAGGAUCAAUGGAAGGAUGUCAAGGAGACAACUGAAGAUGCCAGACAAGAGUUCUUGAAGCGGGCUAAGGAACGGAUGGUCGCUUCGGCUAUUGCGUCAGUCAACCGCUGGAAAUCUGGAGACCUGGAGGGCGUGGACGAGGAGUUACUGAAGGAGAAUCUACCGGAUAUAUACGCCCAGAUCCUCACUGCCAGGGAAGAGACUACUGCCGCCCCUCCGCUUUCUUCAACAGGUCGGGAGGAGUUGUAAGACGCUGCCCACCCAUGAUCUCCGCCUCUCUCCUCUGAACUCUCACGUCAUCUGUAAGAUCUUAAAUGUACGAUGAUGAGAAUGCCAGAGAAACGUACACAGUAAGUCCACUAACACACACACACACACACACACACACACACACACACACACACACACACACACACACACACACACACACACAC